rnacentral:misc_RNA from 1 species
GAUGAAGAACGUAGCGAAAUGCGAUAAGUAAUGUGAAUUGCAGAAUUCAGUGAAUCAUCGAAUCUUUGAACGCACAUUGCGCCCGCCAGUAUUCUGGCGGGCAUGCCUGUUCGAGCGUCAUUUGUACCUUCAAGCUCUGCUUGGUGUUGGGUGUUUGUCUCGCCUUUGCGUGUAGACUCGCCUUAAAACCAUUGGCAGCCGGCGUAUUGAUUUCGGAGCGCAGUACAUCUCGCGCUUUGCACUCAGAACGACGACGUCCAAAAGUACAUUUUUACACUCUUGACCUCGGAUCAGGUAGGGAUACCCGCUGAACUUAAGCAUAUCAAUAAGCGGAGGA